rnacentral:rRNA from 1 species
GACGAACGCUGGCGGCGUGCUUAACACAUGCAAGUCGAACGGAAAGGCCCUGCUUUUGUGGGGUGCUCGAGUGGCGAACGGGUGAGUAACACGUGAGUAACCUGCCCUUGACUUUGGGAUAACUUCAGGAAACUGGGGCUAAUACCGGAUAGGAGCUCCUGCUGCAUGGUGGGGGUUGGAAAGUUUCGGCGGUUGGGGAUGGACUCGCGGCUUAUCAGCUUGUUGGUGGGGUAGUGGCUUACCAAGGCUUUGACGGGUAGCCGGCCUGAGAGGGUGACCGGGCACAAUGGGACCUAGGAUACGCCCCGAACUCCACCGGAGGCAAGAGGUGGGAAUUAUUGCACAUGGGGCGAAGCCCUAAGGCGCAAACCCCGCUGGGGGAAUAACGGCUUUCGGGUUUAAACCCCCUUUCGCCUGUAACAAACGUUAGGGGACGUAAUGGGUAAAGAAGCACCGGCUAACUACGUG